rnacentral:rRNA from 1 species
GACGAACGCUGGCGGCGUGCUUAACACAUGCAAGUCGAACGGUAAGGCCCUUCGGGGUACACGAGUGGCGAACGGGUGAGUAACACGUGGGUGAUCUGCCCUGCACUUCGGGAUAAGCCUGGGAAACUGGGUCUAAUACCGGAUAGGACUCCGGACUGCAUGGUCUGGGGUGGAAAGCUUUUGCGGUGUGGGAUGGGCCCGCGGCCUAUCAGCUUGUUGGUGGGGUGAUGGCCUACCAAGGCGACGACGGGUAGCCGGCCUGAGAGGGUGACCGGGCACACUGGGGCUGGGAUCCGGCCCAGACUCCUACGGGAGGCAGCAGUGGGGAAUAUUGCACAAUGGGCGCAGGCCUGAUGCAGCGACGCCGCGUGAGGGAUGACGGCCUUCGGGUUGUAAACCUCUUUCAGCAUCGACGAAGCGAAAGUGACGGUAGGUGCAGAAGAAGGACCGGCCAACUACGUGCCAGCCGCCGCAGUAA